rnacentral:rRNA from 1 species
GGUUAAGCGACUAAGCGUACACGGUGGAUGCCCUGGCAGUCAGAGGCGAUGAAGGACGUGCUAAUCUGCGAUAAGCGUCGGUAAGGUGAUAUGAACCGUUAUAACCGGCGAUUUCCGAAUGGGGAAACCCAGUGUGUUUCGACACACUAUCAUUAACUGAAUCCAUAGGUUAAUGAGGCGAACCGGGGGAACUGAAACAUCUAAGUACCCCGAGGAAAAGAAAUCAACCGAGAUUCCCCCAGUAGCGGCGAGCGAACGGGGAGCAGCCCAGAGCCUGAAUCAGUGUGGGUGUUAGUGGAAGCGUCUGGAAAGGCGCGCGAUACAGGGUGACAGCCCCGUACACAAAAAUGCACAUAUUGUGAGCUCGAUGAGUAGGGCGGGACACGUGGUAUCCUGUCUGAAUAUGGGGGGACCAUCCUCCAAGGCUAAAUACUCCUGACUGACCGAUAGUGAACCAGUACCGUGAGGGAAAGGCGAAAAGAACCCCGGCGAGGGGAGUGAAAAAGAACCUGAAACCGUGUACGUACAAGCAGUGGGAGCCUCUUUAUGGGGUGACUGCGUACCUUUUGUAUAAUGGGUCAGCGACUUAUAUUCUGUAGCAAGGUUAACCGAAUAGGGGAGCCGAAGGGAAACCGAGUCUUAACUGGGCGUUAAGUUGCAGGG